AAACCUUGCCCAGAUGAAAGUUCAGGGCAGCUUCAGCAAACCGUCCUGUGGGUCAGUGGUGAAAACCCUGCAGAUCUGUCACCCAUGUAUACACAGUCCCACAGUACAUUCUCCAAGGUGAAUACUUCUCUUCCUCUAAAUAGUAGGAAGUCUGUUUCAUCUCCUCUCUGCUUCUGUUGCCAGAAACAGGCGCCGUGUCAGGAGCAGCCUUCUCUGUAUAUGGCAAUCCUCCAGAGGAGGGGUUUGCAGGCAAAUCUAGACCCUUCUGACCAUCUCCAGAGCACAAAGGGAUGCACCUGAGCAUUGUGGGACACACUCCUUAGGUUCUGUACUGUUCCCUGACAACCCUAACAAACCUUCACCAUCAGCUUCCAGAAGUUGGAGGAGAUGAGACCUGGGGUCAGAAGACAGAAGUGGGGUAGUAGGAACAGGGUUUCACUAAAGAGGGCGUUAAAGAGUUCUCACUUCCCACCAUUCCUCAGAGCCUUCCUCAAUGCUUUUCUUUGCCCAGAGUCCCCAGAGUCAAGUUGGGGCCGUAACCCUGGUACUCUAUGCCAGCAAGGGACACUCAGCUACCAAUUGCCAUCAAUGUGAUCAAACUAUCAAGGAGCAUCAAUAAACCAAGGAACAUGAAGGAGAAAGUUGAACAGUAGAUCAAACUGAAGAUGACAGUGCACAGAGCAGCGAUCUCCUGAGGAACCCAACUGCAAAGCACCAAGGGGAAGGAGCAAGCCAACCUGAAGGAAGAACUGGCCCAAGGGGACAACAGACAAAAGACCAUGGACUCCAGAUUUAAGCCCAGUUGGUCUAGCUUCUAAGUCUAUCUUAUACUGUACAAAAUGGUCAUGACAUGUCCUGGGCAGCUAAUUAAGUAAAAUUAAAAUAAAUUUUAAAAUUCAGCUUUUCAACCCCACCAGCCAUAUGUACUCAGACGCCACUUCUAAUCCACGGGCACUCUACAGGACAAGAUGGCUCAAGAGCCCAGAGGUGCAGAAAGCCACCCUUGAGGCCAAACUUUGCCCACCUUCUUGCUGCAUCUUCAUUUGGAUUUGGUCCCAUACACUGAAAUCCCCAUCUUCUUGGUGUACUUAAGCUUAAGCUUAAGUAGGCAUUUCAGAUGGGACUCUAACGAAAAGCCCCCACCCUCAAGAUGUUGAUAGCAGUAUUUCAAAAUGUAAGAAAUGUUCCACACAAAGUUCUUCCUAUAACACAAGGAACGUUUUUUAGGUGGUAUUAGGUGGUCUUUCAUUGUAUGGCAUGAAGAAGGGACUCAGAGUAAGGUGCCGUUGCAGGCUAGUAGUAAAGGGUGUGACUCCUAUGAUCCACAAACAAGUAAGUUGUUCCCUUGAGGAAAAGGCAGCUGUCAAAGUUCAGUUACUCCAAGAGCAACACACUAGGCUCACUAUAAAAUCCAAAUCUAAAUGACCAGCCUCUAUUACCAGAGAGAAAGGAGACCCAGGAAGAAGCCACCCCUUAGCAUGAAGAAGCAGGCUAAUGAGUAGGAAGAAGAACCCCUCUGAUAAACUGAGCGAAGAAGCUUCCUGGACGCUUCAUUUUCAGGCUAGGGCUGUAUUUUCUUGUUGCACCUGUUAAAUGAAAUCAGCACAUAUCUGUAACAAAAUGAAAAAAUUCCCUCCCCUCCUGUUGAGGCAUUCUGUGACAAUGACUGCCAAGGUACCUCACUGUACUUCACAGACCCACAAUGGAUGGGCUAUCUACCUGAUUUGCCAGCAGUGGAUGAGUUUUCACUUUGGCCACAGGACAGUGGAGGGAAGCAAACAUGCUGGGUUCGUCCUGAAGGGCUCAAGACUAGCAGCAAGGAGCACCAAACGAGCGUGUUCAAGAGGAUGUGCUCAGCAAGGAGCACGGAGCACACACAGGUGUCAGACCUUUAUUCCACACUGUAUGUUUGUCCCCAUCUUAUCUUCUGAACAAUUAUUUUCAGAAACACAGGCCAAACCAUCAUUUAUAGUUGUGUAACAUUCUGAGGAUAUCUACAAAUAUGUUAUAAUUUAUUUAACCAAAUCUCUGCUACAGGACACAUAUCUGCUUACUAUGUACAACAGUAUUUUUGUGAAUAUGGUAUUACUAAAACAUUCUCCAGUUAUCUUCUUUUGGAGGAGGGGUGGUUCAAGACAGGGUUUAAUUGUGUAGUCCUGGCUGUCCUGGAACUCACUUUGUAGACCAGGCUGACCUUGAACUCAUAGAGAUCCGCCUGCUUCUGCCUCUGCCUUCUAACCAGUGUGUUUAAAGGCCUGCAUCAGCACCACUCUGUCAGAAAUUUAUUACACUACAGAAACAGAAUGUCCUACUAGCAAUCUGUACACAUGGACAUACAUCUAACAAUAUAUGGAACACAAAAGCUUUAAAAAUGUUUGCUAUUACUGUGAUUUAUACAAUCCAAUUCACAAUGAUAGUGUAUUUUUGUGCCUACCACAAAUGAAGUCAUGUAAUGAUCACUCAAUAACACCACUGUAUGUUGACUUUUCAAAGGAACUAUUUCCUUUUCCUUUGGUUGAAAGGUCUACUAGAUCAAGGCCAUUUUUAUGUAAUAUAAAUUGAGAAAUUAUAUACCUCAAUACCAUUCUUAAUUAGCUACAAAUUAUUUUGAUUAUUAAUAAAAAGUAAUUUAUUUUCCCAGACACUUUAGAAAACAACAACAAUUACAACAAACCAAACCAAAAACCAAACAAACAAAACAAAAACCAACCAACUCACCCACCAAAUCCCAAAAGGGAUUUUAAUUAAAGGAAUCACAAGAUAUCCAAUAUGUAAACUAAAAGCAAUAUACUCUAUGUCCCCAUAAGACAUGGCACAAAAGGCUCAGAUAAAGUAGGAAGAGUAAGGGAAGAGUGAUGGGGCUUUGUGAGGGGGAUAGGGGUGGGCAGUAAUCGGGGUGUAAAAUGUAUAAAUAAAUCAAUAGAAAAAAUAGCCAAAAAAUGAAAAAGAAAAAGAAAGGAAGUUACAAGAGAGACAGCUUGCUGCCAGGUGGCAGGGGACAUGCUAAAGACACCAGAGACAUACUAUCCACCACAAGACAGCAGGCACACAUGCUUGGAACCCAAAGGCAUGUCCACUGCUGUGUGGCAGUGUGUAGGUGGUUGCUGCUAUGAUGAGCAAGUAUGAGGUGGAGAGUUGAGAAGAGAACAAGAGGCACAAUGGUACACUAUGACGAGAGGAGGAAUGAGGAACUUAAGGGUGGAGAUGAACAGCCUGAUGUGAGUAGUCUGUGCUGCUGCUGAGGGCUCUGAAGUAGCAGAGGUCUUUUUAAUGUCCAUAGCCCAUGUUACCACCAAAGGUCAUGCAGAUGUUCCAGGUCUGGGCUGUCUCCUGGUGCCAUCUUAAUGUCUGAGGGCUGAGUUGGCCCUGCAGAGUUGGCUCCACUGGCUGUGGCACUCAGGAGAGCUAGCCUCACUGCUUACUUGGGCAGCUUGGGAGAGCUGGCCUUGAGGGUGUGAGGGUAUGAGAGAUGGCCCCACCCCUCACUGGCUACAACACUUGGGAGAGCAGGCCCUGCACCUUACCUGGUUAGCAUAGUAGAGUUGGGCCUGGUAUCCUGGUGGGAGAGCCAGACCCACCCCUUGCCAGCUGCCCUAAGCAGGAUAGCUGACCUCACUCCUGCCUGGGCAAAGCAGGGGAGCUCACCCUGAUGGAGCAGGUGUAGGAGAGAGCUGGUGAGCUGAACAACUCACCAUCAUCCAGGGCUUUGAGUUGGCCCACCCCAACAUCUAUGCCAUCUGUGAACUGCUGGGGCUACAGAUCCAAAACUACAAGACCUUCAUGUCACAGGGCAACAACAGGACAUCAGAAAGGAAUCCCCGUGAGGAUCCAGUAUUGAUAUGGUAGCAGAACCCAGAGGCCUUGUACCACACCAAUGACUCAAUGAAAUGAACAUCUGCAAGUAACUGUUUAGGCAAUAGGUAUCCUGUGUGACAUUGACACACCACAGCUUCUUCUGUGAGAUGGUUUGUAUGUGUGUGUGUUUAUUGUUAUUUUAUUUUUUGAGGAAGAUUGCAACAGCACAAGUCCAAUACGGGGGGACAGGAGAUGAGUGAGAUUGGGGUGCAUGAUAUGAAAUUCACAAAGAAUCAAUAAAAAGUUAAGAAAUAAGAAGUAAAGUAUGAACCUUAUGAUUUUACUUUUCUUUUAAAAUAUGCACUUAAUAUGAAAUAUUACAUGUAAGAACAUUAAAAGUAGCUAAUACUCGGUGGUGGAAUUGAAGACCAUUUAAAAUUCCUUAUUUUUAAACUAUAUAUAUAUUUUUAGUUUCUUCUAUAAAGAAGUUUUAUAUGAAAUGAAAAAUUUUAAGCAUUUAUGCAGUUAAGAUUCCAACAGGGUAUCCAGUUUCUUGGACACACCAAUACUCUGGCACAACAGACCUGUCUUAGAUAACAAGGUUUUCCAAAACAGGAAUAUUCUAGACAGAUGGAGGACUAGCAUCCCUGAGGAGUCCUUGAGCUCUGAACCCCAAAUUCCUGACUGAUUGCUCAUUCUCCUAGAGAUAAGAGCCUUGAGUGCUUAUCACCCAUCCAUGCUGACCUGAAGCUUUCAAAACAGAACCCUGAAGUGUAGGCUGAUCACAUGAGUCCCAUCUCCUGCGACAAAUCCCCAAUGUCUCUAGGCUCAGCAUGUCAACAGCUGUGUCCUCCGCCUCAUGCUCACACAAGCCUCCCCUCAUGCUCCCACAAGCCUCCCCUCAGGUUCACACAACCCUCCCCUCAGGCUCACACAAGUCUCCCCUCAUACUCACACAAGCCUCCCUGCAUGCUCACAUAAAUGCUCACGCAAGCGUCCCUCUUAUGCCCAUACAAGCUAACUUCUUUGAGCAUUUCUGACUGCACACUUCAGUCCCUGCACUUACCCUGGCAGGCCUCAUAGGAUGGCAGCUGCUGACAUACUCCUGCCCUUGUUCUUGACUUUAAGCAGGUUGUGUGGGAUACAAUAGAGUCAGGAGAGGUAGGCAAGUGGAGAG